GCCCCAGUGGCCUAAUGGAUAAGGCACUGGCCUCCUAAGCCAGAGAUUGUGGGUUCAAGUCCCAUCUGGGGUA
rnacentral:tRNA from 1 species